GACGAACGCUGACGGCGUGCUUAACACAUGCAAGUCGAACGGAAAGGCCCUGCUUUUGUGGGGUGCUCGAGUGGCGAACGGGUGAGUAACACGUGAGUAACCUGCCCUUGACUUUGGGAUAGCUUCAGGAAACUGGGGCUAAUACCGGAUAGGAGCUCCUGCUGCAUGGUGGGGGUUGGAAAGUUUCGGCGGUUGGGGAUGGACUCGCGGCUUAUCAGCUUGUUGGUGGGGUAGUGGCUUACCAAGGCUUUGACGGGUAGCCGGCCUGAGAGGGUGACCGGCCACAUUGGGACUGAGAUACGGCCCAGACUCCUACGGGAGGCAGCAGUGGGGAAUAUUGCACAAUGGGCGGAAGCCUGAUGCAGCAACGCCGCGUGCGGGAUGACGGCCUUCGGGUUGUAAACCGCUUUCGCCUGUGACGAAGCGUGAGUGACGGUAAUGGGUAAAGAAGCACCGGCUAACUACGUG
rnacentral:rRNA from 1 species